AUGUAUAAGUAUAAACGACUUGCUCGUGAAACCGCGAACGGCUCAUUAUAACAGCUGUAAUUUACUUGAUCUUGACAAUCCUACUUGGAUAACUGAGGUAAUUCUUGAGCUAAUACAUGCACCAAAGCUCUGACCUUACGGGAAGAGUGCAUUUAUUAGAACAAAACCAAGCGGCUUCGGUCGUUUUUUGUUGACUCAGAAUAACUUAGCUGAUCGCAUGGUCUUGUACCGGCGACGUGUCUUUCAAGCAUCUGCCUUAUCAACUUUCGAUGGUAGUGUAUCUGACUACCAUGGUGGUGACGGGUAACGGAGGAUAAGGGUUCGACUCCGGAGAAGGGGCCUGAGAAAUGGCCACUACGUCUAAGGAUGGCAGCAGGCGCGCAAAUUACCCACUCUCAGUGCGAGGAGGUAGUGACGAGAAAUAACGAGAUCGUUCUCUAUGAGGCCGAUCAUCGGAAUGGGUACAAUCUAAACCCUUUAACGAGUAUCUAUGAGAGGGCAAGUCUGGUGCCAGCAGCCGCGGUAAUUCCAGCUCUCAAAAUGCAUAGAAUCAUUGCUGCGGUUAAAAAGCUCGUAGUUGGAUCUGUGCCGGGGAUUUGGUGCAUUCUCUGAAUGUCUACUGACUUCCCGGCUUUCGGCUGGUUUUCCCUCUGUGGCCUUUACUGGUUGCAUUGGGUGGCUGGCGCGUUUACUUUGAAUAAAUCAGAGUGCUUAACACAGGCGUUUCGCUUGAAUGUUCGUGCAUGGAAUAAUAGAAGAGGAUUUCGGUUCUAUUUUAUUGGUUUUCUGGACUGAGAUAAUGGUUAACAGAGACAAACGGGGGCAUUCGUAUUGCUGCGUGAGAGGUGAAAUUCUUGGACCGCAGCAAGACGAACUACAGCGAAAGCAUUUGCCAAGAAUGUCUUCAUUAAUCAAGAACGAAAGUCAGAGGUUCGAAGGCGAUCAGAUACCGCCCUAGUUCUGACCGUAAACGAUGCCAACUAGCGAUCUGCCGAUGGAUAUUUUGCCUUGGUAGGGAGCUUCCCGGAAACGAAAGUCUUCCGGUUCCGGGGGAAGUAUGGUUGCAAAGCUGAAACUUAAAGGAAUUGACGGAAGGGCACCACCAGGAGUGGAGCUUGCGGCUUAAUUUGACUCAACACGGGGAAACUCACCCGGCCCGGACACCGUAAGGAUUGACAGAUUGAUAGCUUUUUCAUGAUUCGGUGGAUGGUGGUGCAUGGCCGUUCUUAGUUCGUGGAGCGAUUUGUCUGGUUUAUUCCGAUAACGAGCGAGACUCUAGCCUACUAAAUAGUCGGUGCGUUGCUUUUGCGUAUCCAACUUCUUAGAGGGAUUUUCGGUGUACAGCCGCACGAAAUUGAGCAAUAACAGGUCUGUGAUGCCCUUAGAUGUCCGGGGCUGCACGCGUGCUACACUGGCGAAAUCAGCGUGCUUUUCCUCGCUCGAAAGGGCUUGGUAAACCAUUGAAAAUUUGCCGUGAUUGGGAUCGGAAAUUGCAAUUAUUUUCCGUGAACGAGGAAUUCCAAGUAAGUGCGAGUCAUCAACUCGCGUUGAUUACGUCCCUGCCCUUUGUACACACCGCCCGUCGCUGCCCGGGACUGAGCCAUUUCGAGAAAACUGGGGAUCGCUGGUUGGGAGUGUUUCGGCAUUCCCUUUCGGUGAGAACCAAUUUAAUCGCAGUGGCUUGAACCGGGC
rnacentral:rRNA from 1 species